rnacentral:rRNA from 1 species
UUCUUAUACAUGAAGCAAAAUCUCAACUUUAUUAGAAGAGACGCAUUUAUUAGAUAAAAAGCCAGUUCAUGCUUUUACAGUAUGAAAAUUGGUGAUUUAUAAUAACUUAGCAAAUCGCAAAGUGAAAACAGGCGAUAAAUCAUUCAAGUUUCUGACCUAUCAGCUUUCGACGGUAUGGUAUUGGCUUACCGUGGCAGUGACGGUUAACGGGGGAUUAGGGUUCGAUUCCGGAGAGGGAGCCUGAGAAACGGCUACCACAUCUAAGGAAGGCAGCAGGCGCGCAAAUUACCCAAUUCUAACAGUUUGAGAGAGGUAGUAACAAGAAAUAACAAUACAAGGCAGUUAAAAUGCUUUGUAAUUGGAAUGAUAGAAAUUUAAACCCUUUUUAAAGUAUCAAUUGGAGGGCAAGUCUGGUGCCAGCAGCCGCGGUAAUUCCAGCUCCAAUAGCGUAUAUUAAAAUUGUUGCAGUUAAAAAGCUCGUAGUUGAAGUUCUGCUGAAAGUAACCGGUCUGCUUUUAAUAAAAGUGGUAUCUUGGUAUGUAUUUAGCAAUGAUGUCCUUUGAAGUGUUUUUUACUUUAUUGUAAUAAAGCAUAUUCAGGACUUUUACUUUGAGAAAAUUAGAGUGUUUCUAGCAGGCUAACGCUUUGAAUACUGCAGCAUGGAAUAAUAAGA